rnacentral:lncRNA from 1 species
UAUUGUCCCAGCUCUGAUUUAUGGAAUUUGGUAUUUUUUGAAAGGCAAGGUGUCUGGAGUUUAGGGUCUUUCCUUGACAGCCGUUCCUCUCCCCCGUACAGUCAGUCUGAUUUUAUUCACCUUGUGGUGACCUUGCAGAACUCAGCAUUUUUACCUGAGCUCAGUAGCUGGGGAGCCCACUAGCGCUGGCUGGGAGAGAGCCGGUGGUUUCCAUUCCUGGGUGAUGGAGUCAUGGGAGAAACUGCAGUGAGCAAACACAGAGUAGGACCUGAGCAGGGCUCGAAUGUGCUUUAAGCAGCUCAGGACAGAGCAGCAGCUCAGGACAGAGCAGCUGCUCUGUCUCCCAGCCUGCAUUUGUCACUGACCACUGAAGUGUGUGUUUGUGCAAGGUGAGAGUCGGGGGCUUUUUCCUUAAUUUGG